rnacentral:lncRNA from 1 species
AAGGAGGAAGUCUAUAUCUCGUGUGCAGGAGGGAGACACCAGAUCUGUCCAACUGCUGCCUUCUGCACAGGGACCAGAACAACCUGAAAUCCUCUCCCUGGUGCCUUCUCCCUGCCUGAGGUCCUCUGCUUCAUAUUGGGAGUCCUUCUCUUCCUGGUCCUUGUCAUCCUGGUGACUCAGCUGCUCAGAUGGAAAGCAGAGUGCAGAGGUUCUUAGGACUGGGAUGUGAACUCUCAUAUGACGUGGCCUCUUCUGUGAGAGAAGAAAGAGUUGAGGCUGAGCUGUGGAUUCAGGUCAGAUGAGGAGAGAAGGUGCCAACACGAUGCAUGGGGUGGAAGACAAUGCUGAG